GACGAACGCUGGCGGCGUGCUUAACACAUGCAAGUCGAGCGGUAAGGCCCUUUCGGGGGUACACGAGCGGCGAACGGGUGAGUAACACGUGGGUGACCUGCCCUCAGCUCUGGGAUAAGCCUGGGAAACUGGGUCUAAUACUGGAUAUGACUCCACGGUGCAUGUCGUGGGGUGGAAAGCCUUGUGCGGCUGAGGAUGGGCCCGCGGCCUAUCAGCUUGUUGGUGGGGCGANGGCCUACCAAGGCGACGACGGGUAGCCGGCCUGAGAGGGCGACCGGCACACUGGGACUGAGACACGGCCCAGACUCCUACGGGAGGCAGCAGUGGGGAAUCUUGCGCAAUGGGCGAAAGCCCUGACGCAGCGACGCCGCGUGAGGGAU
rnacentral:rRNA from 1 species